rnacentral:rRNA from 1 species
GCAAGUCGAGCGAACAGACGAGGAGCUUGCUCCUCUGACGUUAGCGGCGGACGGGUGAGUAACACGUGGAUAACCUACCUAUAAGACUGGGAUAACUUCGGGAAACCGGAGCUAAUACCGGAUAAUAUAUUGAACCGCAUGGUUCAAUAGUGAAAGACGGUUUUGCUGUCACUUAUAGAUGGAUCCGCGCCGCAUUAGCUAGUUGGUAAGGUAACGGCUUACCAAGGCAACGAUGCGUAGCCGACCUGAGAGGGUGAUCGGCCACACUGGAACUGAGACACGGUCCAGACUCCUACGGGAGGCAGCAGUAGGGAAUCUUCCGCAAUGGGCGAAAGCCUGACGGAGCAACGCCGGAAGGUCUUCGGAUCGUAAAACUCUGUUAUUAGGGAAGAACAAAUGUGUAAGUAACUAUGCACGUCUUGACGGUACCUAAUCAGAAAGCCACGGCUAACUACGUGCCAGCAGCCGCGGUAAUACGUAGGUGGCAAGCGUUAUCCGGAAUUAUUGGGCGUAAAGCGCGCGUAGGCGGUUUUUUAAGUCUGAUGUGAAAGCCCACGGCUCAACCGUGGAGGGUCAUUGGAAACUGGAAAACUUGAGUGCAGAAGAGGAAAGUGGAAUUCCAUGUGUAGCGGUGAAAUGCGCAGAGAUAUGGAGGAACACCAGUGGCGAAGGCGACUUUAACUGACGCUGAUGUGCGAAAGCGUGGGGAUCAAACAGGAUUAGAUACCCUGGUAGUCCACGCCGUAAACGAUGAGUGCUAAGUGUUAGGGGGUUUCCGCCCCUUAGUGCUGCAGCUAACGCAUUAAGCACUUCCGCCUGGGGAGUACGACCGCAAGGUUGAAACUCAAAGAAUUGACGGGGACCCCGCACAAGCGGUGGAGCAUGUGGUUUAUUCGAAGCAACGCGAACCUUUACCAUAUCUUGGACAUCUCCUGACCCCUUCUAGAAGAAUAGAGUUCUCCUCUUCUGGGAACAGAGUGAACACGUGGUGCAUGGUUGUCCGUCAGUCUCGUGUGUCCUGAGAGAUUGUAGGUUUAAGUCCAUCAACUACGCAACCUUAGCUUACUUUGCAUCUGUACGUGGGACCUUCAGCUUGAACUGCCCGUGUAACAUAUCGCGAACG